UUUUUUUUUACACACACACAAUAGUUUAGAAUGUCAUUCAUUUGCGAUAACAUGCAAUUAAUACAACUUUCAACAAUGGAUCUCUUGGCUCUCGCAUCGAUGAAGAACGCAGCGAAAUGCGAUACGUAAUGUGAAUUGCAGAAUUCAGUGAAUCAUCGAAUCUUUGAACGCACCUUGCACCCCUUGGCAUUCCGAGGGGUACACCCGUUAGAGUGUCGCGAAAUUCUCAAACNUUCUUGGUUUCUAUGACCAAGAAGGCUUUGGACUUUGGAGGUCUUUUGCUGGCUUUGCGAAAAGUCAGCUCCUCUUAAAUGCAUUAGUGAGGUCCUCUUUGCGGAUCCUCAGGCGUUGAUAAGAUGUUUCUACGUCUGUGGGAUUUGCUCUGUUUAAUGGGAACUUGCUUCUAACCGUCUCACUCUAAGGAGACACCGUUCGAGCUGUGCUCGACCCACGAACCUUGACCUCAAAU
rnacentral:rRNA from 1 species